rnacentral:rRNA from 1 species
AUGGUACAACUUGGAAGACAUAUUCCCCUCUCCUGCUCUGCUGCGAUUGGAGGCCUCAGGCUAAGUACGACACAUGGUGCCGCUGCCCCACGCCUGAAAGCGCACGGCGAGAGGGGGGAAAGGGGCAGAGGAAACAGAGGAGAGAAAAUAGGCUCCUCGCGGCUCGCCAAGGCCGUGUUCUGCAGCCAGCCACCGUCACUCUUCGCCGCCGUGAUCCGCCCGGGUUCCGCCGUGCCGGGGCUGCUUGAGAGAGCGAGGGAGUCGCUCUGGCCUCGCCGCCUCCUCCGGCAAAUAUUUUCCUCUGAUCCUGCCCUCUCCGUGGCUUGGGUCUCAGGGACCAAACCAUCCCGCCGCGGCUUGCUGGCGAGCUGA